UACAGAGGCCUCGAGCGUUAGGCGGAAUCACUGGGCUUAAAGCGUGUGUAGGCGGACUUCUAAGUGCCUUGUGAAAUCCCACGGCUCACCCGUGGAACGGCUGGGCAUACUGGGAGUCUUGAGCCACCUAGGGGCUGCCGGAACAAAUGGUGGAGCGGUGAAAUGCGUAGAUAUCAUUUGGAACGCCAACGAAGAAAUCAGGCAGCUGGGGGUGUGCUGACGCUGAGACACGAAAGCCAGGGGAGCAAACAGG
rnacentral:rRNA from 1 species